CUCAUUUUUGUUUUUUAAACUAAACUAUUAUGUUUGCAUAGAAAAAGCUAUGGAAGACUACGUAGCAGCAAACUAUUAACAGUGGUUAGUUCUGGGGAAUGGGGAGUGGAGGCUGAGGAGGGGAAAUGUCCUUUUACUUCUUACUUGACAUAUUUUUUAUUUUAACUUUUUCCACUGGACAGGACUUACUUUAUAAUUUUAAAAGCUCUCAUAAAAAUUAAAUUUUCUAAAUGUUUUUAACACUAGUUUCUACACUUUAUUUUCACCCUAGGGCACCAAAGACAUCACAGGAAGCUAAACAAGCGCUCCAGAGCCUGCCAGCAAUUUCUCAAACGAUGUCAGCUAGCAAGCCUUGCUCUGCCUUUGUAGGAGCUCUGAGAGCCCACUCUCCCAAUGAAACACUCUCAGUCAAGAGGCAGUGAGCGCACCUAGAGGAUGCUCUUCUCCCACCUCAAGCUCGCCCUCCCUGUCUCCACUCCAGGGAUCUCAAAAGGCAUUCUCCCAAGGUUAUUGCUCCCUCUAGUGCCUCCUUCUCUCCUCAGUCUUUCCUGUGCCCUCCCCUUACCCAGGCUUAAGCUUAAUUAUCUGGAAGAAACCAGGAAACUCCCAUUUCCCACCUGGUCCUAACUGACCUAAAAUACAGCCAGGGAAGUAGCAAACAGAAGUCAAUAAAUAUUCUCAAGUGAAAAUACUCCAAAUCGUUUCUUUCAAAUGGGGUCUGGCAAUUCAUACUCAAUCCAGAUGAUCCACUUUGCCCUGUCACUCCAAACCCCACCCAGAUUCUACACACACUUCUCCCCACCACCACUCUCACUCUCUCUCCCUCUACAGCCCAACUAUUUAUUCUUUCACUCAUUCAACAAACGUUUCAGGGGUAAGAGCUAGGUGGGCCAAAGAAAGCAGGUAUAGCAAUGAAUCAGACAUGGUCUUAUUAAAGAUAAUAUAGGUUUAAAAAAACAAUAACUAGCACAUUUUCCUAGAUCGUAGAACAUCUUUAGUAUUUACGAUUAUCAUCACCAUCAUCAUCAUCAUUAUGGUCACUGUACUCCGUGAGCUUCCAAUGUAGUAUAGAAGACACAUACGCAGAACCAUCGUUCAAGGCUAGAGAGAUGGUGUGGGAGAUCUCAAAUGCCAUUUAAAAGGGCUUCAAGCUGUAAAACUUGGAAGAUGUCAUUUUUUUUAACAUGAAAGUGAAAUGAUCAAAGCAACAAUGUAAGGAAAUUGAACUGGCAAUCAUUUGAAAGAAUGAAUAAAGAAGAAAAAAUUAUUACAACAAUAUAGAGACUGCCUCUCCCUCGGAUCCACUCCUCAAAUACCAAAGAAGAGAAAAAAAAAGAACACUGAUCCAGAAUCUGGCUUCUGUCAUCCCAGACGAAAGAGAGGACUAAGUUGGGAUGCUUGCCUUAGGAGAAAAAAACAUUUUGACUGAGUGGUGAGUGGGGCGGGGCCCCAUUUAUGACAUAAGAGAACAAGCCCCUCCCCUCUGGCAGGAGAGUGCGGGACACACAGCCUCCUCCUGUUCUUAAUCCCUCUUCCCACAGCAAGAGGCACAGAAGUGCAUCACUUGGGACAGGAGUGGGUACCAGCAGUGGUUGGCCCACUUGCUAACUGCCUUAUAAAGGAAGACCAGGGAUGUCAGGAUCAAGAAGUGGAACCCAAAGGGAGGUGCAAUCAUGAGGAACCAAUGAGGGAUCUGUGACAAGGGAAACAUGAGGGAGGAGGGGCAGAAGGAUGAAGUCUGGGAGAUCAACAUCUCCUGUGAGGGAAAUAACACCAGUGGAGCCAGGUGUUAAGGCAGUACCUAGACCUGACUGGGAACCUGAGCCACAACAGACACCAAUCACCCAGCCAGAGCCUGGGCCAGAAAAGGCACCCACAGCCCAGCCAGCAUCUAAGACUCAGCAGGGACCCAAUACCCAACAGGAGGCUGCCUCACAGCAAAGACCUCUCACUCAGCAGGAGCCCCUUGAUGAACAUGAAGCUGAAUCCCACCAGGAACCUAGAACCCAACAAAAAUCUGCUUUGCUGCAGGAAUUUCUUGCCACACAGGAGCCUGCACCACAGCAAUCACCUCCCACCCAAAUGGUAGCCUUCACUGAAUAGGAAGCUGCCUCACAGCAGAGACCUGGGCCAGGAAUAGAAUCUAGAAGUCAACAGGAACCAGAAUUGAGAGAUGGACAUGUAGCCCAGACAGAACCCAGCCUAGGAGAACCAUCUAGCUCAGCAAGAAGCUAGAUCAACACCUCCAGCCCAGCCUAGACCUGGACCCCGAAAUGGAUCACUUGCCCAGAUUGGAACUAUGUCCCAAGAGACCACCAAGACAGUCAGACCCAAUAGCCCAGCAAACAGCUCCAGCCCAGGGAGCCAAAUCCCAGCAAGGAUCUUUGACGGAGUGGGGACUUCUAUCAGAAUUGAACCAACUAUCCUCUCAGCAAUGGGCCUCAGAGUGGAAGACAUGCUUUGAGUGGGUCACAGACCCAGACUCAGAAUCAGAUUUGGGGUCUCUGCUAGGGACCCAUUAGCCAGCUGUGAGGGGUGGGACACUGGCCCAGGGAACGAAUCUGGCCUUCAAGGGGAAGCCUGGUUAUGGAGUGAUGUCAGGAUAUGGUGGGACAUCAGCACUCAGGAAGAACAGCCACAGCCAGAAGCACAGAUGCUACCGAGACAUGGCUGAGUGUGAGCCUGGGGGACAGGGAGCCUCCCAGGACAGCCAUUCAUUCAGUCAGGGGUACUAAGGGCCACCAGUAUGUCAGUUAGCCUGGGUGAUCCCUCCCCAGUCCUGCCAGGCAAAGAGCCCCAGCCCCAUCUGAUGGAUGAGGAAGCUGAGGCUUAGAGAAGAGAAGGCUGAGCCCGAGGCAGGGCAGUGAGGGAGCGGCCCAGCCAGGAUCCAAGGCAGGGUGGGACUUCUUCCUCUGCACCAGGCUGCCCCCCACAGAAGAUUGGGGGCAAAUCACACAGAAGUGGGAAAGGGCUCUGGGCAAGAGACCAGGAAACGGGGGAAGCUGCCCUCCUGCAAGCAUGCACCCACCCGUCCCCAAAUCACCGAGCACAGCCCUGUGCAGACACUGCCACAGGCACCAGCGACACCAUGCUGACAUGGACCCUUACCCUGGGGAGCUCCAUCCCAACUUAGGAUCCUGAGCUCCCAGGAAGACACCGCUCCCCCACAGGUUCCCCCGCCCCCACCCCCGCCCAGGAGAGUCGCAGGCCAGCCAGGCUCAUGGCCUUGAGGGCGUUCUCAGGAAGGGAGCCUGCGAGAGGUUCUGUGGGGUCCGCCAAAGUCCAGGCAGGGCCGGGACUGGAUGGAGGGGGCAGCGGAGGGGGGGACGGGCCAGGACUCGGCGGCCGCCAGCUCUCCCUCCCCUCCUCCGAAGCGGGCAGGGGCCCGGCGGUGCAGGCUCAGCCCCCGCUCAGGCCCCGACCCUCCUUCCCUGGGCUCAGAAGCCCGCCAUGCAGAAGGCAGGCGCACACGUUCCAUCCGCGGACAGAGGGGUCCCUCGUUGAAGCGGCCUGAGGGGAAACAGGGCAGCCCAGUCCAGAGGCCGAAGGCGCUGCAGGGCCGGUGAGUCGGCAGGCUGCCAUGCUGCUCUCGCUGAGGUAUGUCCCUCCCAGAAGGGCUGUGUCCCUCAGGGCGGAGGAGAAGACGGAAGGAUAUCUCACGGGUUGCUUGCCUGCUUUGCGAGGGCGGGGAGGAGGGUUGGGAGGGAAAGAGGGUCCCAGUUCUGCUUUUUCCGGCGAUGACGAUGAAGAGCUGUUUCUCUGGGCCUCCAGAACCCAGUCUCCAGGGACAUCCUCUCCACAGCGCCGCCGCAGACCAGGCCGCUUCCCCUCACGCACCCGAGGCGCAGUUGACUGUGUGCGCAUGCGCGAGCCUUGAGCUGUCUCUGUCUCCCGCCUUUUCCCAGGCACGCGGCCCUCCCACUACUGCGCUCCUCGCGGCAGGCCGGCUGGUGGCUUAGAGUUAGUGCGCAGGCGCUACGCUUUCUCCUUCCCCCUCCCUUCCAUUCCAGGGGAGAGUGAGAGGGCAGCGAAAAGAACUCUGAGAAAGAGCAAUAGGAGAACCAGGAGACAAAGGGCAGGGAGAAGGCGGGGCUUCCGCCUCCACUGGUUCCCAGGCAGACAGCCAGGCCUCCGGUGCUGGCACCCCGCGCCUCCCCCUUAGAAUUGCCCCACUCUCCAGAUCCCUCUGGCAGGCAAGGUUGCAUUGUAGGGAAUCCGUUUGGUGGGAAGGUUAAUGGGGAUGUGAGGCUGAAUGCCAGCACGUGGGAACAUCUAGGCUUCCCUACUGGGGGGACCCUCGCGAGACUCCCCACUAGUCUGCCUGAAGGACGCUUUUUGCCAACUCCAGGGCUGCAUUUUUGUUGGUCUGGGGCCUUUUAAUGCGUGUGAGGGGUGAAGGCCAGGCCAUAGGCCCUAGCGGUUGGGGGCGGGGUCAGGCAGUGCAGUGAGGCCUGGAUUGCUCAGGGGGGCGGGACCCAGAGAGGAGCGAAGCCCCAAGGACUGGGUGGUGUGGGGGCCCGGCGGUGGACUGUAGCAAGGAUUGGUCCUCGGGGCGGGGCCUGGCGGCUGGAACUGGCCCACGGACAAGGACUGCGGAGAGGUGAUGGAGUCCUCCAAGGAAACGAGGCCCGCCUCACCGGGGAGCAGGUAGGGAACUGAGGAGCACGGAUAGCCCCCUCCCCCAGACGCCCUCUUGCCUCUUACUGCUCACACCGGUCCCGCCUCCUGUCUGUCUAAGCACAUCCGCUGUGUGGGAUGAGGCCCAAGCAGGCUGCCCCAGCUUCACCCGCCUUCUCCUCCCUCACACCCCAGGACAGUGAGGAGCUCAGCAGCCUGGUAAAGUCGGAGGGUCGCAGAGCCUGGCGCUGCGGCCACGCCCCCAACAGGCACCCCGCUCGCAGUCCCUGGAGGUGCACAUCUAAGGCGUCGGCUUAGUGGCCCAGACCUCCAAAUCCUAAGAGCCCUACAUCAAGAGCUGGGCCCAGGAGCUGGGCGCCCCUGUGCUCUCCAUCGACUACUCUCUGGCCCCCGGGGCCCCCUUCCCAGCGCGCUGGAGGAGUGCUUCUACGCCUACUGCUGGGCUGCCAAGCACUCCAGCCUCCUUGGUGAGCCCUGGCCCCUCACUCCCACCAGCUCCCCCUUCCUAACCCAGCCUGCUUCAGCCCCCACACCAUACUGCAGGGGGAGUGAGGUAUCUAGUGACUCAAGCCUUAGUAUCUCACUACAGCCUCCCCUUACAUCUCCUACCACCCAGCCCUCUGCCACCCAUUCGCUCCCCACUCACACCUCUAUCUCUGCCUCAACGCUUUCCCCAACUGCCCCACUGCUCACUGGACCUUCCAUCUCCACCACUUCCUCCUCCUGCCUCCUGCUUUCUCACUCCAGCCCUGAUGCUCCAUCCCCUCCACCUCUCCAUCUCCUCUGACCUUGUCAUUCCUCCUCCUGUUUCUCCACCCCCUGCUGUCUUGCAGUGGCUCAACUCCAGUCCAUUCAUCCAGCUCCUCUGACCUCCAAUUUCUGACAUCUUGGGAGGCACAGAGCAGGGCAGGGCCACACCCCAGGGCACAGGGCUUGUGGCCCUUCAGUGCUGUUAGCCUGAACCCUGGCCUUCCAUCUCCUGGCCUCAGAUGCCCCUCCCUCCUGAAAUAGCCCUUAGUCUCUCCUUUCCCACCACCCACCCUGCUUGCUUCUGACCUCCAGCCUCACAAGCUUCCCCAGAGCUUCCUGAUCUCUGGACCCCUCCAUGUCCUAAGUCAGCCUGAUCCUCUGACCACUGUCCUCCAAACAGGUCCAAAUGCUUGCCUCAGUUUACCAGUCUCUAAAAGUGCAGUUGGCUAGACCUUGGGCUUGGGCCACCACCCCCCACUCCCCACCCCUGAGAGCCCAGGGCUCGUGGCUCAGAGCUUGAGUUCCUCUCUGCCAGGCAUGACCAGUGGUGAGGGAAAUAGAACAAUUGUUCUAUUUAUGAUGUUAAAUAGGAGUUAGUUGACUAGAAAAUCCAAACUUAAAAAGUGUGCUUCAGAACAGAGAGUCAUAGAAAUAAGGCAGCUGCUUGUCCAUUACCAAAAUGACUCUUUCAUCUAGAUGAUACUUCUAGACUCUUUUUUCAUCAUCUGUUGAAAAGCUUGUCAUUACACAAGCAGUGAUGUCACCAGAAGCCUAUACUAAAUUUCGUCUAUCUGGAAGAACCUCUUAAACUCAUCAUCUCAGAUAUUUACAAAGGUAGGUGCCCUGUACAUCCAAUGUUUUAGAAAUCUGAACCCAACAAGUUAUUCUGGUCUGCUGGGCACCAGAGAAACCUUACAAUGUUCCUUAAGCCAUAGCAUCAUUCCUGUCAUUUUUUCCCUUUACAUCAGCACAGGAUCUCCAGUGAGGCUGGAGGGUUCCCUGGGACAUGGGUCGUCCUGGGGCUCCACAGAAUAGCAGCCACUGACUCCAUGAGCUGGAAAUGUGUGUGCUGGGAGGUACAUAGUCAUGGUCUUUAAAGAAACACCCUGUACAUAUUUCCAUUCUUUGUAUUACUGUUCAUAGUUGUGUGGGGAAAAGUAGUGCUUGAGGGAAGAAGGAAGGGUAAGUCUUUUGAGUAAGGUGUUUGCUUCUGCCAGUACCCUGGUGAUGGUGGGUUUUUAUUUGGUUUUGUCUUUUAAUAUUUUCAAGCUGCAUGAGGAAAAGAAACAAAAGGUACUCAGGACAAAAUGUAGUUUGAAUCACUUUCAUUCUGCUCGGGCCAGUAAAGUUCAGACAUGCAAUUAAUCACAAUUUAACACAGAUACAAGGGAGAUGGUAGGAUGCAAUUGGUUACUAAUGACCCUGCCAGUGACUGCAACUCCUUAGUUGUAAUUUGCAGGGCAGUGCUGGCCACCAGCAGGGCAUCCAGGAAACAUGCCUCUGCCCUGCAGGCCUUGUCACUUAGGAUCUGUGCACAUGGGCCUUGGCUGAACUGCUAUGUAAUAUUCCAGACUGGGCCUUCCAUAGCAAGAGAUGGGUCCUGUCAGGUAUUUCAAGAGCCUUCCUAUUGGUAAGAAUCAGGAGAGAUGUCAUUCACUGUGGCACAGCUUCUCUCAGGGCCUGAGGGAGCAGGUGGUGUCUGGGAUUCACCAUCAACUCCAGAUCAGGACCAAGGACAUGGGGAGUGUGAGGUCCUGCCUGACCGCACCUCUCAGGACACCACUGCUGGGCUGUCUGUGGGAACUCGGCCUCCCUUCCCACUCCCUGCAAUGCAAGAAAGGGACCCCAGAGUCUCUUCAUGGAGAGUUGGACAGUGAAGGGGCACAGGUGAAUCUGGGGAGGUGGAAGUGAGGAGAUGCUGUUAUUCCUGGAGGGAGGAGGGGUAGAUGGUGGGCAGACAGGAGUGCCCAGCCCCCUGAGCUACUGCAGCUGACUCAUUGCCUCUGGAGAAUCCAGGCUUUCCCCUGCAAAAGUUCAAGAACUUCCCAGUUCAGUGCUUCAGGCUGAGGCCCCUCAGUUCUGUUUCCUCACCCAGUCCUGCAUCAACUCUCUGUCCCCGUCACACAUGGGCAGCGCUGUUUGACUGCCCAACUUUCCCAAUACCCCUAGGUCUUCAGAAUGGUCAGUGCCCCCCUAUUCCCACCAGUCUUGAGGCCAAGACUGGUCAGCUGUGGGAGCAGGCUAUCAAGCUCCAUCAUCCUGAUCAUCAAUCGUCUGUCAGGAGGUGGCAGCAGCUGAACAAAGGAGAGAUGCAGGGACAAUUGUGAGCCACCGUGUAUGUCUGCAAGUGGACCUGUUGGGGAGGACCCAGUAAAUAACUGAACCUCCUGCUAAUAUAGAUGUGGGCAGUGUGUGCCUUGGGUCUUAGUAGAGUAUGCAUGGAUAUUUUCUUAAUUUGUAGGACAGGCUUUUGAUUUUGGAAUUAUAGUUUCCCUUAAUAUCACCUCAAUCCCACCCAUUUGGGGCACAGAUUGCAAAUUCUGCACCCUGGAACAGGGUUGGUGGUGGGACCAAGGCACUGGCACCCUGGCCCUGGAACUCUCUGUAUGCACAGCUGCUGCAGAGAGGUGUUCUCUGUUGGGAGUAGUGGCCUUCCGAGACAUCAGUACACAUCUCUGGUGCCCUCACUCCUCCCAGCAGGCCCCUCACCCUCAGAGGCACCUGCCCUUGUCCUCAUCCCUACCUCAGCCUUCAGAGCAGUCUCUGAGCUGACUGCCCCAGGGACAUCAUGAGGGUCAUUUGCUCUCUUUGCUCUGCUCCUGAUGCCUGCCUGGUGCAGUGCAUGGUCCUCUAGGUUCCCUGAGGGGUGUGUGUGUGUGUGAUGCAUUCCUGCACACACGUGAAAUCUCAAGGUGAUGGAAUUUGAAAGUCAUUUAACAAACGUUUAUUUUAAAUGCAAGAAUUCAUUGUUAGGACAUAUGUAUCGAAUAAACUAGUGUUCCUGUCAUAGACUGGAUCACUUGUCUUAAUCUUCCUGUCUUCCCGAUGUUAGAAUGACACAUCCAGGCCCUUUGCCUGCACCUUGCAGGUCCUCUCACUAGAAGGAAAGCAUAUCCCCUCACCAGCCCUGUUUUUCUCAACCUUGGCCAUAAGAACCCGGAAACCAGCAAUCUCCAUUCUCCAAAGGCACCCCAGCAUGUUGACAGACCCAGGAGUGCCUUCAGCUCUGUGAUUUUUGACGGAAAAGUUCUCAAAAAUACUUGCCUUCACCUUCCUUGAACAGACCUCCACUUGAGUGCCAUCAUUAUUACCCAGAAGUAUUUAGACACUUUUAUUGGUUGUGAGAUGCUUUCUGACUCUGGGGGAUGCGUGACUCUCUGCACAGGGAUGACCAGUAGAAAUGGACAAAGAGAAAUCACAUUAGUGUUCACAGAAGAGCUAUAGGAACUCAUGAAAGCUUAAAAUCACAGGAGACUGCACAUAAAAUCCACAUUCCUGUGCUGAUACGUGGAUCCUGGUGACUUUUGCCAUUUCCUUAAGAGCUAAAGUACAAAAAGUGAUAUUAAUAAUGAACUGGAGAGUAAGAUAUACCUCACCGCUACUGAUAAAAGUAAAAUAGUCGUUUUUCCUUAA